GCUUGCUUCCCCUUGGUGUUCUGCCAUAAUUUUUAUCAUUUCUGGAUUGCUGUCUGUCAUUUUGGGAAGAAAAUCAAACAAGCAUCUGCCCUGCCCAGUCCUGGGUGGAGAAACUACCAGAACCACAUCUCCUGUCUCUCCCACCAUAAGUCUCUGCUUCAUUCACGCAUUCAUGUACCAUGCAUUCAGCAAGCAUUUGCCUGUAGGCUUGCGGAGCUCUGAGAGGAGUCGGGAGUGAACAAAAUUAAUCAAAUCGUAUGACAGAAGAGGAAGUCCCAUCCUGCCAAGGGUCCUAGAUGUGAGAACCUGCUGCCGACCUGGUGGGAUCGUGGUGCCCCAGGAGCAUGAACUGCUCAGGAGCAGACCCUGACCAGAUCCCCCGCAGGCCUGGAACAGCCUGAUCAGCAGCCUCCUAAGCCCUGUGGCCGCCACAGUGGGCCUCAUUGUCCUUCCCUAUCACCUGGCCGGGGUGUUCUCGGCUGCCAGACAGUGCCAACUGGUGGUGCCUCCCCAUCAGUGUCCCAAGACAGCCACUACUUUCCGAAGAAUGAGACCACCAGCUGCUUUGUGGCCAGCUCCAGCUUACUGAAUGUGUGUUUCCUGACCCAAAGUGACACAGUGAUCACCAGCAUGCCCCAGGCAGCAUUUGCUGACACUGUCCUGGAGAUGAACAAGGAGUGCACCCUUAGCGUGGGGGCAGAGAGAGAGAGCACAUUGUCUGCAGGAGUCAGCUGAAUGAUCUCACAGACCCCACCUGCUGGGCUCUUCCAUUUUAUCACAAUUGCUCCGCCUGUUCACAUGCAGAGAGAACUCUUGGGGCAGAUUUUAAGACCUUAGAGAGUAACUUGUUUACAAAUAAAAUAUCUCUUUGAUGACG
rnacentral:lncRNA from 1 species